UACGUAGGGUGCGAGCGUUGUCCGGAAUUAUUGGGCGUAAAGAGCGCGUAGGCGGUCCGAUAAGUCGGCUGUGAAAGUCAGGGGCUCAACCCUUGAAAGCCGGCCGAUACUGUCGGACUAGAGUCCGGAAGAGGCAAGUGGAAUUCAUGGUGUAGCAGUGAAAUGCGUAGAGAUCAUGAGGAAGACCAGUGGCGAAGGCGGGUCUCUGGACAGUUCCUGACACUGAGACACGAAGGCCAGGGGAGCAAACGGG
rnacentral:rRNA from 1 species